rnacentral:rRNA from 1 species
AUUGAACGCUGGCGGCAGGCUUAACACAUGCAAGUCGAGCGGGGAAAGGUAGCUUGCUACCUGACCUAGCGGCGGACGGGUGAGUAAUGCUUAGGAAUCUGCCUAUUAGUGGGGGACAACAUCUCGAAAGGGAUGCUAAUACCGCAUACGUCCUACGGGAGAAAGCAGGGGACCUUCGGGCCUUGCGCUAAUAGAUGAGCCUAAGUCGGAUUAGCUAGUUGGUGGGGUAAAGGCCUACCAAGGCGACGAUCUGUAGCGGGUCUGAGAGGAUGGUCCGCCACAAUGGGACUGAGACACGGCCCAGACUCCUACGGGAGGCAGCAGUGGGGAAUAUUGGACAAUGGGGGGAACCCUGAUCCAGCCAUGCCGCGUGUGUGAAGAAGGCCUUUUGGUUGUAAAGCACUUUAAGCGAGGAGGAGGCUACCGAGAUUAAUACUCUUGGAUAGUGGACGUUACUCGCAGAAUAAGCACCGGCUAACUCUGUGCCAGCAGCCGCCGUAACAC